rnacentral:misc_RNA from 1 species
AAGUCGUAACAAGGUUUCCGUAGGUGAACCUGCGGAAGGAUCAUUAUUGAAUGAAACUUCUGGCUGGAUGCUGUUGUGCUGGCCCUUUGGUGCAAUGUGCACACACCUCUGGUCGUCUGUUUCUUCUGUUCCACCUGUGCACUGCCUGUAGACACUCUGUGUCUAUGAUAUUGGUUAACACACACACACAUGAUGUUUUGCAUAUUGGUUACAUAUGUAUGAUAAUAUACAACUUUCAACAAUGGAUCUCUUGGCUCUC